UACAGGGGGAUAACAGUUAGAAAUGACUGCUAAUACCGCAUAAGCGCACAGUGCUGCAUGGCACAGUGUGAAAAACUCCGGUGGUAUGAGAUGGACCCGCGUCUGAUUAGCUGGUUGGUGGGGUAACGGCCUACCAAGGCGACGAUCAGUAGCCGGCCUGAGAGGGUGAACGGCCACAUUGGGACUGAGACACGGCCCAAACUCCUACGGGAGGCAGCAGUGGGGAAUAUUGCACAAUGGGGGAAACCCUGAUGCAGCGACGCCGCGUGAGCGAAGAAGUAUUUCGGUAUGUAA
rnacentral:rRNA from 1 species